rnacentral:tRNA from 1 species
GAGAUUGUGGCUCAGUGGCUGAGCACUUGUCUUGCACAUGUGAGGUACUGGGUUCGAUCUUCAGCAUCACA